rnacentral:rRNA from 1 species
UGGCUCAGAUUGAACGCUGGCGGCAGGCCUAACACAUGCAAGUCGAGCGGCAGCGCGGGGCAACCUGGCGGCGAGCGGCGAACGGGUGAGUAACGCGUAGGAAUCUACCCAGUAGUGGGGGAUAGCCCGGCGAAACUCGGAUUAAUACCGCAUACGCCUUAAGGGGGAAAGCAGGGGAUCGCGGACCUUGCGCUAUCAGAGGAGCCUGCGUAGGAUUAGCUAGUUGGUAGGGUAAAGGCCUACCAAGGCGACGAUCCAUAGCUGGUCUGAGAGGAUGAUCAGCCACACCGGAACUGAGACACGGUCCGGACUCCUACGGGAGGCAGCAGUGGGGAAUAUUGGACAAUGGGGGCAACCCUGAUCCAGCCAUGCCGCGUGUGUGAAGAAGGCCUUCGGGUUGUAAAGCACUUUUGUUCGGGAAGAAAUCCGAUGGUAACCUGACGG